GUGGGUUUAUGAUCCACUCAGGAAAAAUAAAGUUUUACAGCUAAAACAAAAUCAUUCCAGGCGACCUGCUUAAGAUGAUCGGGGUUAGCAGUUUGCUGGGGUCACAGAGUGAAGGAGCUGAGGGCUGCCCCCUGCUGGUCACUGAUGGCCAGGAAACUGUUCACAUCUACAGUUGCUAAUGAAAUAGCUUCAGCUUUCCACCCAAAUAUGGUCACUUCUGGUUCCAAGAAGCCGACACAGCUGCAGCUGAGAUGCACUCCAGAAAUACAGCGCUGAGAGUAAAGUACCUGAGUGACACAAUGGGUUAUGCAUGAGUCACAUGCUGAGAAUCUGCGCUGGAUGCAGAUCUGGCUAAUGACGUCUCUGCCUGCAGCUGGGGCACAAAGGGGCCCCGCUGAGCGAAGAAGCUGUAAUUUCAGAGCCUGCAAAUACUUCACAGGAAAUGAUUGUGGUACUGCACGCCCUCUCUCUGAUGACCUUUCACCCCGUUUGCUCGCUCACCACGCAGGCGAGCGGCUGACGGUUUGAUUGCUCUUCUCCUGCACAUUUCCAUCUCGGCGGCCCAAACACCUGUUUGCUGUUUCUCAGCUCGCCCAGACGAUAUCUCAUCUGGGAUCGUGGAGACGUCUGCCCCGGGGAGCUGAUAGAAGUGCAGCCUCAGCUCGCUCCUCUCUGCAGCACCUUACAUUGUUGUGCAACUGCAGUGAACCAGAGACAGUCAUUUAUAAGAUGUCUGGCUCGCUGCCUCCGGUCACAGAAGCCGCCGCUGCUGCUGCUGCAUCCAGGACUGUGUGUUCUGGCCUGAGUGGAUGAAUUAGAGCUGCCAAGACCAAAAUAACUCAUUGAUUCACUGAGCUCUCCCUGGGUCUGAAGCAUUAACAUCAUCCAGAAGCUAUUUCUCUCACUUGUUUGGAGCCGCAAGUCGUCCAGAGGUACCAUUAUCCAAGCCUGGCGAAGGCAAAACGACUAAACAAAGAAAGCUGUGGAAGUUAAGAGUUCUUAAAUUUUUGUUUCACGUGAUGGGCCAUUUUUAAAUAUAUGAAAAUGUAAUUACUGUUUUUUUUAAUAUAACAAACAACAAUCUGCCAAAAGAGUAAAAGCACUGGUGAAGUGAAUAAUUCAUCUUGUGUCACAAUUCAAAGGUAUGCCGGGAAAAUCGGGUGGAUGUUAAUGUUAAACUUAACACUUGCCAGCUGUCUUUGAAGCACCUCUGGGCACUUAUUUGGGCAGUUUUAUUUUCAAGCAUUUUCCUAAAUGAACUUGAAUUUCAAUGGUGACCAGGACAUAGAGACAACACGUAUAAAAUCACCAAAUUUUUAAAAAGCCUGUUAAAAAUUAGCUGAUUUCACUUUACCUUAUACCAAAAAAAGAGCCUGUUUUACCCCUGUCAUAGAGUCCUCUUCCACCAUGUUUGCUGAAUUCUCCUCAUAGAUUUAAUCUUUGCUCAUUCCCCAACUAAAUAUUAAAGCAAGAACAAAACCCCGUUGCAGUGGUCCUCCCCGACGGCUGCAGUCAAGAGAAGUAAGAGAAUGAGGCCCACCGCACUCUAAAUGCCACUUCCAAAUAUGACUAACAAUGGACUUUAUAUCAAAGAUUACGGAGCCCCGCAGGGGACAUGGGAGAAAAAAAUUAAGACUGACU